rnacentral:rRNA from 1 species
CCUACGGGUGGCAGCAGUGGGGAAUAUUGGACAAUGGGGGCAACCCUGAUCCAGCCAUGCCGCGUGUGUCAAGAAGGCCCUCGGGUUGUAAAGCACUUUCAGUGAGGAAGAACGCCUGGUGGUUAAUACCCAUCAGGAAAGACAUCACUCACAGAAGAAGCACCGGCUAACUCCGUGCCAGCAGCCGCGGUAAUACGGAGGGUGCGAGCGUUAAUCGGAAUUACUGGGCGUAAAGCGCGCGUAGGUGGCUUGAUAAGCCGGUUGUGAAAGCCCCGGGCUCAACCUGGGAACGGCAUCCGGAACUGUCAAGCUAGAGUGCAGGAGAGGAAGGUAGAAUUCCCGGUGUAGCGGUGAAAUGCGUAGAGAUCGGGAGGAAUACCAGUGGCGAAGGCGGCCUUCUGGACUGACACUGACACUGAGGUGCGAAAGCGUGGGUAGCAAACAGGAUUAGAUACCCGAGUAGUC